GAUGAACGCUGGCGGCGUGCUUAACACAUGCGAGUCGAACGGUGAAGCAGGAGCUUGCUCUUGUGGAACAGUGGCGAACGGGUGAGUAACACGUGAGCAACCUGCCCCUGACUCUGGGAUAAGCGCUGGAAACGGCGUCUAAUACUGGAUAUGUGAUGUGACCGCAUGGUCUGCAUCUGGAAAGAAUUUCGGUUGGGGAUGGGCUCGCGGCCUAUCAGCUUGUUGGUGAGGUAAUGGCUCACCAAGGCGUCGACGGGUAGCCGGCCUGAGAGGGUGACCGGCCACACUGGGACUGAGACACGGCCCAGACUCCUACGGGAGGCAGCAGUGGGGAAUAUUGCACAAUGGGCGGAAGCCUGAUGCAGCAACGCCGCGUGAGGGAUGACGGCCUUCGGGUUGUAAACUUCUUUUAGCAGGGAAGAAGCGAAAGUGACGGUACCUGCAGAAAAAGCACCGGCUAACUACGUGCCAGCCGCCGCGGUAA
rnacentral:rRNA from 1 species